UGGGAACAGCCAGGAUCCCCUCCGCACGGGAGAACAGCUCUAGACGCGCAGAGGGGCGGAGUCCAAACGGGUGCCAUCACCGACCUGUCUACAAGCAACAUUGUAACAUAUUUCUGAGCCCAUCACAUGGAUAAUGUGACCCUUCUCUUUUUGUCCUGCCCCAAGUGAAGAUUGUGACAUGUCACCAGGCCCUUUGUCUAGGCAAUAUGACUCUUCUCUCCUGUCUGGGCCCUGAUUACAAGGGGGAUUGUGACAAUCACUGGGCCCAUCAUGUAGAUAAUAAGAGUUUCUCUUCCUGCCUGGGCCUUUUCUACAGAAAAGAUUAAGACAUCACUGGGCCAAGCACCCACAUGAUGUCACUCGCCUGCCUGCAUUCUGCCUACAGUGGGUAUUGUGACAUAUCCCUGGCACAGAACCAAGGUAACGUGACUCACCUACCUGGUUCCUGCCCACUGAUGGGAUUGUGACAUAUACCUAGGUCCAGCUCACAGGCAUGAUGAUAACUGUCAUACGUGGACCCAGCCAAUAAGAGAUUUUUGCUCUUAGGCUUAUUACAACAGAAGGCGUUGUAACAUCUCACUAAGCCCAGCACUCAGGCGAUGUGGCUUUCCUGCUAUGGCACUGCACACAAGAAGAAUGUUGACAUAUUCCUGGCCCAGAAUUCAGGUGGUUUGGUGACUCUCAAACCAUGAUUCAGCAGACCUGUGAGGCUGUGAGUUCCCUAUCAGAACACAAUCUGCAGGUUGUAUUGUGCCAUAUACCUGGGACCAAAUUACAAGCACAAUGAUGAAUCUUUUACCUGGAGUCAAGACAUGGGCAGGAUGAUGGAACUUAUCACUGGACCUUUCCACAGUGUUAUUGUGACAUAUGCCUUUGCCCAACAUGUGGUGAUUUGACUCCCCAGACUGGGUCCAGUUCACAAAUAAAAUUGUGCCGUAUACUUGGCCAAGAACCUAA
rnacentral:lncRNA from 1 species